rnacentral:lncRNA from 1 species
CUUCCUGUUUUACAGCAAAUGCCCUUGUCUUUGGUUUCUUGUAGGUCAUUUGGCUUUUCUACCUCUUCGUUAUCCUUGGGGUCACGGCUGAGAAAUUCUUCUGCCCUAACUUAUCGGCCAUCUCCACCAAGCUGCGUCUGGCUCAUAAUGUGGCAGGUGUCACCUUUCUGGCUUUUGGAAACGGAGCACCUGAUAUCUUCAGCGCCGUGGUUGCGUUCUCUGAUCCCCGGACGGCUGGGCUAGCCAUCGGAGCUCUCUUUGGUAAGAAUGACAAAGGGAAUGGCUGGGUUUGUGUCCUGUCUCAAACCAAGGUGUGUUUGAACUCUUGUGUUGCGCACCAAGAAUGGGGACCGGGCCUUUAAGCCAGAGUCAAGAAGAUAUAUUGCUCAAGGCUGAGCCCAAGAAUCUAGUCAACUGAUUUCAAUUGGUGGGAGAUAAGAGUCCGUGAAAUU